GGGACGGGCAUAGAAUCUAAAACUCGACGAAGACGACGACGGGGCUCGACGGCACGAGGGCUUGACAAUCAGUCUUGCUGCUUUCGUCUUUGCAGGUCCGACAGUGUGCGGGGUCGAGGUUGGGUGAACGGUAGUGCACGAGGUCGGGAUGGUGUUCAUUCAACCCCUCGUUUGCGAUAGUGGUGCCAGAAUAGUGAAGGUUUCCAUUUCAAAUUUUGGCUGCGGUCACACGGGUUCAGAAGUUGGGAAAUCGAUUGCUUGGGUUCAGAGAUUGGGUUAAGAGAUUGAGUUCAGAGAUUGGGAAAGAGAAUUGGGGAUGUGUCGAAGGAAAUAAAAUGAGUGAAGGCACAGAUGGAAGAAAACGAAGAACUGGCGAUACUAAUGAGAGGUCCUCGUGGACAAGCGAUUGUAACCUCUUUGGGUCCAGCUUAUAUCAAACUUGGGCAAGCAUUGAGCAUUAGACCUGAUAUACUUUCACCAAGUGCAAUGACUGAGCUUCAAAAACUCUGAUAAGCUGAUUUUUCUAUUUGAUGAUAUUUGAAAGAAAAUGGUGAUUUGGUGGCUGUUAAAGUGCAAAGGCCCUUUGUUCUUGAGACUGUAAUAGUUGAUUUGUUCGUCAUACGAAAUUCGGGACUGAUUCUUCGCAUGUUUCCCCAGAUCUCUGUAGAUGUUGUUGGACUGGUUGAUGAAUGGGCAGCCCGUUUCUUUGAGGAGCUAGAUUAUGUUAAUGAGGGUGAAAAUAGAACGUGUUUUGCUGAAAUGAUGAAAAAGGACCUUCCACAGGACUUGUCACAAAAUUGACGGAUGAUCAGAAGUACGGAAUGAUUGAAGCAAUUGCUCAUCUUAUACAUUGUGAUUAUGGAGCCAUAGUCAAAGACUUUGUUAAACUUGGUUUCAUUCUAGAAGGUGUUAAUUUGGUUUCAAAGAUAUGUUGUUUGACAAUGAA